rnacentral:rRNA from 1 species
AGCAGCCGCGGUAAUUCCAGCUCCAAUAGCGUAUAUUAAAGUUGUUGCAGUUAAAAAGCUCGUAGUUGAAUUUCGGGGUUAGUAGGUUGGUCGUGCCACUGGUACGUACUGGUCUCACUUACUCCUCCUUCCUGAUGAACUGUAAUGCCAUUAAUUUGGUGUUGCGGGGAAACUGGACUGUUACUUUGAAAAAAUUAGAGUGUUUAAAGCAAGCUAACGCUUGAAUACAUUAGCAUGGAAUAAUGAAAUAGGACGUUCGAUCCUAUUUUGUUGGUUUCUAGGAUUGACGUAAUGAUUAAUAGGGAUAGUUGGGGGCAUUAGUAUUCAAUUGUCAGAGGUGAAAUUCUUGGAUUUAUUGAAGACUAACUACUGCGAAAGCAUUUGCCAAGGAUGUUUUCAUUAAUCAAGAACGAAAGUUAGGGGAUCGAAGACGAUCAGAUACCGUCGUAG